GCGUAAUUCCAGCUCCCAUAGCGUAUAUUAAAAGUGUUGCCAGUAAAAAGCUCGUAGUUGAAUUUCUGGUGGAGUCGGUCUGUCCUUCACUUGGUGUUGGUUCGUGACUGCAUCUCUGCCCUCCUUGGUCGGAGCCCAGUUUGGCAUUUAGUUGUCGGGCUGGGGACGAUCAUCGUUUACUGUGAAGAAAUUAGAGUGUUCAAAGCAGGCUUAGGCCUUGAAUACAUUAGCAUGGAAUAAUGAAAUAGGGUUUUGGCACUAUUUUGUUGGUUUGCGCGCCGAAACAAUGAUUAAUAGGGACAGUUUGGGGAUAUUCGUAUUCAAUUGUCAGAGGUGAAAUUCUUGGAUUUCUGGAAGACGAACGACUGCGAAAGCAUUUAUCAGGGAUGUUUUCAUUAAUCAAGAACGAAAGUUAGGGGAUCGAAGAUGAUUAGAUACCAUCGUAGUCUUAACCAUAAACCAUGCCGACUAGGGAUUUGCGGUUGUUCUUGUAGACUCCGUAAGCACCUUAUGAGAAAUCAAAGUGUUUGGGUUCCGGGGGGAGUAUGGUCGCAAGGCUGAAACUUAAAGAAAUUGACGGAAGGNNCCNCCAG
rnacentral:rRNA from 1 species